rnacentral:rRNA from 1 species
GACGAACGCUGGCGGCGUGCUUAACACAUGCAAGUCGAACGGAAAGGCCCUGCUUGCAGGGUACUCGAGUGGCGAACGGGUGAGUAACACGUGGGUGAUCUGCCCUGCACUUCGGGAUAAGCCUGGGAAACUGGGUCUAAUACCGGAUAGGAGCCAUUUUUAGUGUGAUGGUUGGAAAGUUUUUUCGGUGUAGGAUGAGCUCGCGGCCUAUCAGCUGGUUGGUGGGGUAAUGGCCUACCAAGGCGGCGACGGGUAGCCGGCCUGGGAGGGUGGACGGCCACAUUGGGACUGAGCUACGGCCCAGACUCCUACGGGAGGCAGCAGUGGGGAGUAUUGCACAAUGGGCGCAAGCCUGAUGCAGCGACGCCGCGUGGGGGAUGACGGCCUUCGGGUUGUAAACUCCUUUCGCUAGGGACGAAGCUUUUUGUGACGGUACCUAGAUAAGAAGCACCGGCUAACUACGUG